CACAUUCCCACAAUUCCAUACUAAUGAGCUGAGCUCUUCAAAGGUAGACUCCUAGGAUAAGAUUUCUGAGAAUCGAGUUCCUGAAGAAUGGUGCUGUUGCUGGAAGAUGUCAUUAGGCAUAAGGAAGAGGGGGACCCAAAAGUCACUUGUCACUGCUAUUCUGCCAAACUCAUUUGAGGAAUAAUGGAUAUCAUCCUGGAAACUCUGCAAUCAGCACAUUCACUGGAAACAGGAGCAUCUAGAGAAUCUUACCUUCUCUAUGGAGUCACUCUGCAAUUUGGACUCUGUGCUAGACUCCAUUUGACUGUGAACACUUUGAUGAACUUACAUAUCUCUCUCUAUACCUCUCUUGAUAAUAAUGAUCAGUGGUUUGAUGAAUGAGGUUUCUGUUGUCUCUUUCAAAUAAUCUUGUCCAAUUUAUAUAUAUAUAUAUAUAUAUGUAUAUAUAUAUGAGACAGCUUGUUGGAAGAAAGCCUUACAGGUGGCAUUUUGCUUUACUCAAUUAAAAGCUUUUUAAAAAAUUCAACAAUUAAUAAACACAAUAGGAUGUUGUCUUCUAUGUAGCUUUUAGCAGAUUGUGUGCUAGUAAAGAUGUGGUCUAUUUUGGAAUAUCACCUUUAAAAGUCCACUUAUCCCCUCUUAAUACACUCAUCAAGCAUCCCUUGAUGCUUAUAUAAAUUACUCCCAUAAUAAUUUUAUAUAGUGGGCAUAUGGGUUCCUGGUUUUAUCUUGGUUGUUUAAUAAAGUUUUUAAUUUUUCCACCCCUU